CGCACAUUGCGCCCCUUGGUAUUCCAUUGGGCAUGCCUGUUCGAGCGUCAUCUACACCCUCAAGCUGUGCUUGGUGUUGGGCGUCAGUCCGCGUGAGACGCGGACUCGCCUCAAAUCCAUCGGCGGCGGCUUUGCCGGCUUCUUGCGCAGCACUCUUGCGCGUGGAGGCCACCGACAAGCCCGCGUCCGGCAAGACACAUCCAGUUUGACCUCGAAUCAGGUAGGGAUACCCGCUGAACUUAA
rnacentral:misc_RNA from 1 species